ACCCCGGGAGGGGAGUGAAAUAGUACCUGAAACCGUUGGUUUACAAUCAGUCAGAGCGUCGUCUAAGAUUUCGAUCUUAGGCCGCGAUGGCGUGCCUUUUGAAGAAUGAGCCUGCGAGUUAUGGUGUGUGGCAAGGUUAACCCGUGAGGGGAAGCCGAAGCGAAAGCGAGUCUGAACAGGGCGUCCAGUCGCAUGCUAUAGACCCGAAGCCGAGUGAUCUAUCCAUGGGCAGUGUGAAGCGGGGGUAAGACCCCGUGGAGGCGCGAACCGACCUAGGUUGAAAACUGGGCGGAUGACCUGUGGAUAGGGGUGAAAGGCCAAGCAAACUCGGUGAUAGCUGGUUCUCCGCGAAAUGCAUUUAGGUGCAGCGUCGCAUGUUCAGUCAUGGGGGUAGAGCACUGGAUGGGUUAGGGGGCCUACAAGCUUACCGACCCCAACCAAACUCCGAAUACCAUGACUCCAAAGUGCGGCAGUGAGACCCCGGGGGAUGAGCUUCGGGGUCGAAAGGGAAACAGCCCAGACCGCCGACUAAGGCCCCAAAUUCUGGACUAAGUGGUAAACGAAGUGAGAUUGCAAAAACAGCCAGGAGGUUGGCUUAGAAGCAGCCAUCCUUGAAAGAGUGCGUAACAGCUCACUGGUCGAGUGAUCUUGCGCGGACAAUGUAACGGGGCUCAAGUCCAGAGCCGAAGUCGCGGGUUUUCACAAUAGUGAAAGCGGUAGCGGAGCGUCGAUCUUGCUGUGAAGCGCCGGUGUAAACCGUCGUGGAGCGUGGUCGAGUGAGAAUGCAGGUAUGAGUAGCGAGAGAGGGGUGAGAAACCCCUCCGCCGAAAAUCCAAGGGUUCCUGGGGAAGGCUAAUCCUCCCAGGGUGAGUCGGGAGCUAAGACGAGGCCGAGAGGCGUAGUCGAUGCACAACCGGUUGAUAUUCCGGUACCACUGUGAGCACGACCAGGCUCAACCAUUGUUGCUAAGGGGAUGCUAGGAGCCCGUAAAAAGGCACCUAGAGGAACCGACCCACAAUGGAGCGGCCAGCAAUGCGGGGACGCAGGAAGGUAGGUGAACCCACCCGAUGGUAGAGGUGGGGUAAGUAUGUAGGGCGGGUCCCAGGAAAAUCCGGUACCCACUAAGCCUGAGAUACGACGCCGACUCGAUUAAGAGGAAGUCAUUGAUCCUAUGCUGCCAAGAAAAGCCGCUAGCGAGUUCUCACGGUGCCCGUACCCCAAACCAACACAGGUGGAUAGGUAGAGAAUACCAAGGCGAUUGGGAGAACUGUGGUUAAGGAACUCGGCAAAUUGCAUCCGUAACUUCGGGAGAAGGAUGACCUCAUUAAAGUGAUGGAACUUGCUUCCUGAGCUUGAAGAGGUGUCACAAACCAGAGGGAAGCGACUGUUUACUAAAAACACAGCAGCGUGCUAAGCCGUAAGGCGCUGUAUACGCUGUGACGCCUGCCCGGUGCCGGAAGGUUACGGGGACGGGUUAGCCCUUUAGGGCGAAGCUCUGAACCUAAGCCCCGGUAAACGGCGGCCGUAACUAUAACGGUCCUAAGGUAGCGAAAUUCCUUGUCGGGUAAGUUCCGACCUGCACGAAUGGCGUAACGACUUCCCUACUGUCUCAACCACAGACCCAGCGAAAUUGAAGUACGAGUAAAGAUGCUCGUUAGCUACAGAAGGACGGAAAGACCCCGUGGACCUUUACUACAACUUGGUAUUGAUGUUUGACCUUCACUGUGCAGGAUAGGUGGGAGACUUUGAAGCGCAUGCGCCAGUGUGCGUGGAGUCAUCCUUGAAAUACCACCCUGUGUAUGUUGAACAUCUAACCUCGAACCGUUAUCCGGUUUAGGAACAGUGCCAGGCGGGUAGUUUGACUGGGGCGGUCGCCUCCCAAAGAGUAACGGAGGCGCCCAAAGGUUCCCUCAGCCUGGUUGGCAAUCAGGCAUCGAGUGCAAUGGCAGAAGGGAGCUUGACUGCGAGACCUACAAGUCGAGCAGGGUCGAAAGACGGGCAUAGUGAUCCGGCGGUUGCGUGUGGAAGCGCCGUCGCUCAACGGAUAAAAGGUACCCCGGGGAU
rnacentral:rRNA from 1 species